GAUGAACGCUGGCGGCGUGCCUAAUAUAUGCAAGUCGAGCGAACGGACGAGAAGCUUGCUUUUCUGAUGUUAGCGGCGGACGGGUGAGUAACACGUGGAUAACCUACCUAUAAGACUGGGAUAACUUCGGGAAACCGGAGCUAAUACCGGAUAAUAUUUUGAACCGCAUGGUUCAAAAGUGAAAGACGGUCUUGCUGUCACUUAUAGAUGGAUCCGCGCUGCAUUAGCUAGUUGGUAAGGUAACGGCUUACCAAGGCAACGAUGCAUAGCCGACCUGAGAGGGUGAGCGGCCACACUGGAACUGAGACACGGUCCAGACUCCUACGGGAGGCAGCAGUAGGGAAUCUUCCGCAAUGGGCGAAAGCCUGACGGAGCAACGCCGCGUGAGUGAUGAAGGUCUUCGGAUCGUAAAACUCUGUUAUUAGGGAAGAACAUAUGUGUAAGUAACUGUGCACAUCUUGACGGUACCUAAUCAGAAAGCCACGGCUAACUACGUG
rnacentral:rRNA from 1 species